CCAGCUGUCCCAGCACUGAGGAGGAAACACCAUGAUAUGUUGAGGACAGCUACAGUUCACUGACUCUGUGUGUUUGCAUAUCUGUCCUGCCUCUCUGCUCCCAGCCGUUAAGAGGCCAGUGUUGAUCAGUGGCUGUCCAGGCCUUUCAGAGCCACUGACACGCCGGCAGCACAAUGAUGAUGUCACUGAUUCCACUGCUGGCCACCCUGGGGCUCCUUGUUCAGGGUUCAUCAGGACAAAUCGUCCUGACUCAGUCUCCUGGAUCUCAGUCUGUUGUUCCAGGACAGACUGUCUCCCUCAGAUGUAAAACCAGUACAAGUGUUGGUAACUACCUCCACUGGUACCUUCAGAAACCUGGAGAAGCUCCUAAACUCCUGAUUUAUUUAGCUACAACCCUUCAGUCUGGAGUUCCAGGUCGUUUUAGUGGAAGUGGAUCUGGGACUGACUUCACUCUGACCAUCAGUGGAGUUCAGGCUGAAGAUUCAGGAGUUUACUACUGUCAGCAGAGUAGCAGCUUCCCGUUCACACAGUGAUACAACGUCGUACAAAAACCUCCCUCAGCUGGAGAGGAACUGAUCUGACUCAACAGCUGCACUGAAACUAAAACAUUAGAAGCUUCUCUAAAAGAAAACUCAUGAUUGUGUUAAAAGUUAUAUUUUUAUUGUGGAAAUAUUUUUCAUAGAAUUCAGCAGAGUAUUUUAUUAUUACUGACUAACAGUGUUUGAGACAUUAUCACACUGUUACAGUUUACUCAAACAUUGUUUUACAGCAAAGUUUCAAUCAGAAAAAAAAUGGUUCAACAAGGAAUUGUAACACAAAACUCUGAAUCAUUUGUUCUGGAGAAAAUGUUUAAUCUUUGACUGAUUUGUUGAUUUUUUCAAACUCACUGGGAAUACUGAAUUAGUCAAGAAGAAACCAGAAUAUAACAAUUACAGUGAAGCAGUCAUUGGCAAUUAUCUUUUUUAAUUAAUAUUGUUAGUUACAAAAUAAAUAAAAAGAUAGUGCAGAAGUUAAAAUAAAGGAAUAUAAUAUGAUAUAUAUAAUAUAAUAUGAUGAAAUAAAACAUAAUACUGUAAAUAUAAAACUAUAAAACUGUAGUAGGCAGGUGCACAGUAAUGAUAAAAUGAAAAAAUUGUAAUGUAUGGCCAGAUAAAAACAGGAUUUUAGACAGGCAGUCCACUCAUAUACAUAUAUACUGCAAUGGUUACACAGGUAGUAUAAAUAAAUAUAUAUAUACAGGACAAAGCUGAAUGAAAGAGUGGAGAAACAUCUCAAAGCAGAUGCUUUGGUGCACCAGGGCUCACUGAACGGUUUGGUGAGGAUGAAAAUGAUGUGAAUAAAAUGAUCUCAACCCAGUUUCGCAUCUGUGGAAGGUUUUGGAUCAACGUGUAAGACAACGUUCUCCACCACCAUCUCCAUACGACCAAAUUAUAUAAUAUAAACUUUCAUCUUCAGAUCUGUGUAGUGACGUCUGUGUCUCUGAUGCUGUAUUUGCUGUUUCUCUCUACCUGCUGUACUCAGGUCUGUCUGAUCUCAGUCAGAUGACCUGAUUAAUAAAGGUUGUAUAUGUAACUGAGGGAACAUCUUGUGGAGGAGGUGUUCAUCCCUUGGCAAGGAGCCCUGAAGCUGUUCUGGAGGCUCGUGGUGGCCUGACUCCAUACUAACACACUUCAUGCUGCCUUUUCCUGUCAGUUGUCACCCAUCUUUAUAUAUACUAUAUUUACUGUGUGUGUAUAUACAUACAUACAAAUUGUGAUGUAUGCAGGUAUAAACGGUAGUAAUAAAUAUAAUAUAUAAACGGGAGCUGUAAACAUUGACUAAUAAUAGUAGUAUAGUAACACUAAGUAAUACUUUCAUGAUGCCUCUACUGUUCAAUUUGUUGACACUGUCAGAGAUUUCAGUUAAAUAAUAUUUUAGCAUAGAGUAGUUAGUGAUGGUUUUGCACUCGACUGCGUUAUAUUCAGACAUGUUUCUAAUAUUUUGCCCCCCUCAUAUAUGUAAAUAGGGAGGUGAAAUGCUUAAAAACAACUCUCAAUAUAAUGUAGUCCAGUACAACACCACCUUUAUAUGACCUCAGUAAUGAACAUAUAAGUGAAUUUACACAUUUGUGACAAAGUCAACAAAAACUGAACAUUAUGAGCUUCGUAAAGACAGAUUUUAUGGCACAGAUGUUGGCCACUGAUUUGCAAUAGAUUGUGACCACUGACUGUAUAUCGUCUAAAUUUCCAUUUAUGUUUAUUUUCCAAGCUUCUGAAUGUCAGCUUCCCAACAGCUGCAUCCUCCACAGCCUCAUACCAAACCUGGAAAGCAAUAUGGCCACUUUCUCAAAAGCAAUGCUUCAGAGUUUUAGUGAGAAUAUUAUGAUUUACUGACACAAUGUAUUCCAGCAAACACAUGUAUUUUAUUGUUGUAACCCUAAAUGAUUUAUGUAAUAUGUAAAUCCAUUAAAAAUUAAAUUCUUUCCUUUUGUCAUCUCUUUUAUUUGUCUUUGCGGUUGAACUCUUCAGCAGAUGCAGUAUGUAAAUAUUUCCAGGGUUAAAUAUGAGGAUCACACUCGUUUUGUGUCUUUCUAUGCUGAUGACAUACUGCUUUUUAUUUCAGAUGUUCAAAAUAUUUUUCAUACUUAUUUAAAAGAGAUGAUUCAAUGAUUAGAUUAAAGUUUUCCUACCAUGUGAUUUUGUUCCAAAGGUUUAUUAUUAAAGAAAAAUCUGUAAUGACUAUAGGAGAAUAUAGUUUCAGUCAUGAAGGCAUUCAUAUAGAUUGUGGCAAAACAUUUCAGCCUUAAACUACAACCAUCACUGGUUUGGACUAAUCAAACAAUAGUGACGAAUUUUGUCUGAUUGUAUAAUGUCUCUUAAUAUACAGUAUGUAUGGCUAUACAUUAUGUAAUGUUACUCAUUCUUUCUAAAGUCAUCAUAGAGAAAUUACAACA